rnacentral:rRNA from 1 species
CCUACGGGUGGCAGCAGUGGGGAAUAUUGGACAAUGGGCGAAAGCCUGAUCGAGCCAUGCCGCGUGUGUGAAGAAGGCCUUCGGGUUGUAAAGCACUUUCAGUGGGGAAGAAAGCCUUGGGGCUAAUACCCUCGAGGAAGGACAUCACCCACAGAAGAAGCACCGGCUAACUCCGUGCCAGCAGCCGCGGUAAUACGGAGGGUGCGAGCGUUAAUCGGAAUUACUGGGCGUAAAGCGCGCGUAGGCGGUCUGAUAAGCCGGUUGUGAAAGCCCCGGGCUCAACCUGGGAACGGCAUCCGGAACUGUCAGGCUAGAGUGCAGGAGAGGAAGGUAGAAUUCCCGGUGUAGCGGUGAAAUGCGUAGAGAUCGGGAGGAAUACCAGUGGCGAAGGCGGCCUUCUGGACUGACACUGACGCUGAGGUGCGAAAGCGUGGGUAGCAAACAGGAUUAGAUACCCCAGUAGUC